GGUUCCAUAGUGUAGCGGUUAGCACAGCUGCUUUACAUGCAGAAGGUCCUGGGUUCAUGCCCCAGUGGAGCCA
rnacentral:tRNA from 1 species